CUCCUCUGGACCAGCUCCGCGCGUGCCGCUGCUCUGGGCGGCGGGGGAGGGCGGGCAGGCGCGCCCCGGACCUGCCCUGGCAGGGAGCAGGCACCAGUCCCGCCAGCCCGCGCUGGGACUCGCCCUGAGACGCGUUUCCCGGGGGCGGCGGCCUCGUCCCCCGCCCGGCCGCCCUUGGCCGGUGCUCUCCCACCUGAGGCGGGCGCGGGCGGCUCUGGCCGUCUGAGCUCCGCUUGGGUGACCGGCUUCCCUUGGGGAGGGGGCAGCGGAGCCGCCGCUCGCGCCGCUGCAGCCGGAGAAGCAGCCGCGGCGCCUGGGAACUUUUCUACAGGGUGUUCGCAACUUGUCUGAAAUGCGGCUGGGGCGAGUGGGCGCCUCUGAUCCCCCUGUCGGGUCUGGACUGCCGGUGGCCCGGGCUGCUUCCUUGCCUGCCCCUUUUCUGCAGCCCCGCCGGGCAGAGCAGCGGGGGCGAACUCCAGAGGUGACCCCAGAGGUAGGAGCAACCUGUCUGCUGGGUCUCAUCUGUUGUGGUUUGGUUCCAGCCUGCCCCGCGCUGUAACACUACUCGCAAGUGCUGCUGGACAGGACGCCGCUGGAGUGAGAUCUGCAGGUGCAGCGACUGGUACUUCAGCCCACCCUCGCCUGCUUUUUGCCCCCAGCUCUGGUUUACUCUGCACUGCAUACAGGAGUUUUCUGUUUUCUGGCAGGAACAAAAACGGGAGCAGUUCCACCAGAAGUACUGAAGAUAGGAACCAGCUGCUGAGUGUGCAACUUCAGGAAUAACCAUUUCCCUACUCCAAACUACUAGCCACAGCAACUUGCUAUUUCACAUUACCACAUGAAAAUUGCAUCCACUUCAUUGUGGAUACUUCUGUCAUAGAUGCAGAGAAUCUUCUCUUAAUGGCCAUGCAGUGUGGUGUUCCCUGAUUGAGUGUGCAGCUUAAAUAAAUUAUAAUGGAAGUUGAAAUGGGAAGAAUUGGACCCAACAACUAAUGGUGGAGACAGAAAACUAUGCUGUUGUCAUGCUUAUGAAAGGUCUCACUUCAGCAGCUCUGGAGAACAAAAUUCUCUAUCUUCAGAAUGAGCAGCAGCUGGACAGGAUUUUCUGCGUGGUGGAGGGAGAGUAUAGCUUCUUGGGUGAAGCUGGGAAUUUAUAUUGUCCAUGACUGAUGGUUCUUUCCUGCAUGCUGUCUAGAUGUCAUGCUGGAGAAGAUGACAAAUAGAAUUACAGUGUAACACACACCUGCUAAAAAUACUAGACCAACUUAUUGUAUGCAAUCAAAAUAUGAGUUGAUAACUUUCUACCACUAAUGAAUGUCUUGGAUUCAGUUCAGUAGCCACAUGAUUAAAACAGCACCUAGCUUUAAGAGUUGACCAUUGGACUGGCUUUUUCAAAAGUUGCUAUUGAAGUAAAUUUUGCAGCACUGAAAGAGUUAAAUUGAAGUGUCCUAUUCUAGGAUUAUAAUUUUAUUUAUUUAUUUAUUUGCCUAAGCUUGGGGUACAGCAUAUACUAUCAUGAUGUGAACUACUGUAUUGUUUCAUUUCCUUAACAUAAAUAAACCAAUCUUUAGCAGUUCACUAGAUGGUGGAGGGUUGAUUGCUAAUUAAACAAAUAGAAUUGCCAAAGCAUAUGUAGGAAGAAUUAUAACUGACACAGUAUUUUAUUAAAUAUUUCAGUUACUCCUGCCUCCCACUGCCAGAACUUUCAAUCCAUGAAAAUAUUAAGUGUCCUGGUCUCAUUUCAAAAAAUUCCCCCUUGUUUUAUGUUGCCAUCAUGUGGGCUUUUUCUAUUGUGUGUGUGUGUGUGUGUGUGUGUGUGUGUUCAAAAGCAGGCAGGAGGAAAAGGGAGGGUGAGGGCAGGGAGGCAGAACUGGAGCCAAAUCAGGACUUUUUAAAUUUCUCUACUUAAAUAAACACUACCAGAAUCAAGAAGAUAUAUAUUUUAUAUAGGCUAUUUAUUUAAGUAACUAAAGUAUAUACAUCUUUGAUCUAAUGUGUGGUAUACUCUUUAGUGGUGACUUUCUUUGCUACAAGUCCCUUGUUAUGACGUAUCAGUUCUCUGAAACUGUCA